rnacentral:ncRNA from 1 species
ACCCUGCUGACGGAUUGAACGGCAACCGGCAGCGAGAGCCGGGCAGGGU